CGAAGAUGAACCAAGCGUAGACGAACGAAUCCUCACGAUCGCAACGAAACAGGAACUAACGAGAAGGAGCACAACCGGAAAGAAGCAAACAACAAGGUAAACACACAACACAUAGACAUGGCAUGAUGCUCAACCAAGUAUGAUGCAUGACAAGAUUAAAUAUUGUUAACAUGGCAAGAGGUGAAGCAUAACAAAACUACCUAUCUAGACAAGUUUAAAUGAGGCCGGAACAAGAAACAACAAUUCCGGAAAAUCCCCAUAUGCAAAUUAUGAAUUUGGUACUGUUCUGCCUAAACCACAUUUUAGAGUUGUUAAACAGCAAAAGAAAGUGCACCAUGAUAAUCUAUGCAUUUUUCCACCCCAUUUACAUAUAAAGUUUAUUAAAUUCGGAGCUACGGUUAAUUAGUUAUGAAAUAACUCAUUUUAACAUGGCAUUCGAGCAAAUUUAAACAAACAACAUUUUAAACAUUUUAAACAUGGUUGAAAGUGGCAUAUUAUUAAUCUACACAAAAUUCUAAGCAUUUUACAUAUAUAGUUUGUUUAAUUUGGAUGCAUGCAUAAUUAGUUAUUAACAAUACAAAACAGGGGCAUUUUCUGUAAAUACGAAUGCAUUGGAAAAAUGCUAAAAUACACAGACUGGUAAAAAAAACAUAUGCCCCGGGCAAGAGGCACUAGAGUGCAGUGGCCCAGAGAUGGAAUUGGGCCCAAGUGGCUAUGGGUGUGUGCGCUCGAUGAAAAACAGAGAAGCAAGGGGAAAAAGGAAAAACGGGAGAACCUGGGAUCGAACCCAAAACCUCUCGGAUGGAUAGUGGAUGCGCUAACCACUAGGCUAGCUACGUGUUCGUGAUGCAAAGGGAGAUCAGCCGAACAUAACGCAUAUACGCAUCGCGACCAGGACCCAAAACUGAAGCGCGAGCACGUGGACUCACCGGCGACGGGAGCCAGCAGCAAACCCCUGCUGUGGUUGCAGAGGACCGGCGGGGGUGCGAAAACGUGCCAGGGUGCCUGUGGUGGAGCAAUGAUGCGAGGGUGUGGGUGCUUGUGCGAGGCCAAGCCUGGCUGACCAUGGUUUCCGGCUGGAAGAAUGACGCCGUGUGCGGGUGUGCGGCGAGGCGCGGCGAGCAACGGCUAGGCAGGGGCUGGACAAGUCCCUGAGGGUGUGCAAGCGGAGCAACUGCGGGAGCGUGGGUCGCAGACUGCAUGUGUGCGGGUGUCCAGGCACGAGUAGGAGCCCGUCUCAGACAUGGAGACAACGAUGGCCGAAGCCGCGCGGGUGGUGUUCCGCGGCUGCUGCGCAUGCAGCGCUUCGGUCUUGCGUGUGCGAGCGCGAACAGAGAGGGUCGAGCAGGGAGUGGCACGAUGAGGCGGCGUGUGCGAGAGAGGAUUCAGAGCGGGGCGAAGUGCGAGGAACCACGACGACUACUGCAACUACGCAACAAAAUUCAGAACUCGCCGGAGCACCGAGAACACGAAGAUGGCAUGGAUCUAGCGACGACUCCGGCGAUCUAAUCAUGAUGGAAAAGAGCAGGGUUGGAGUUGGGUAUACCUAGUAUACCUUUGACAUGAGGAUGCGGCCGGGGACGCAGAAUAUCAACGGAGAGAAGGCGAGGAACUUCGGUGGACUUGCUGUCCGUGAAGAAGACGAAGGCGACGGCGAUGUAGUGGAGGCGACCUAGGGCGGGGAAGAAGUCUGAACGGAUGUAGUCGACGUCGAGGAAGAAGACGAACAUGCCGGACACGACUGUGGUGGCCUCCGACCACGCAGGCAACGGCGAAGCUCUCGUGGUGCUCUCUGUUCUCUGGCUCUUGAGGAAGAAGGAGAAACAGGGGAAGGGAAAGA
rnacentral:lncRNA from 1 species